UCAGAGUCAAUCCAACACUCAUUUAGUUAAAUUAACCUAUGAGAGAGUCAUUGCUUAAAAUAGUUAGUGUUAAUCUGGUGAGUUGAAUCCAAGUAACUGUUUUCAGUGUUGAUUUUGAAAACCAACACAAAACAGAGUUGAAUUUCUACCGGAAGCUUCUAGAUUUCUAACGGAUCUGUGUCCAGCAAAGAGGAGCGCGCCGCGAAGACAGCAGACCAAGACGUCUGGCUCUUUUCGACAAACUUUGUUGCAUCAUGCUGGUGAAGGUGAGAUUUGGAGAAAUCCAGAAGUAUGUCAAAGUGGCUCAGACCAAUGAAGGCUAUGAGGACUUCAACACAUUUCUUCAGAAAGUCAUUCAAAAGCUAGAUCUUCCACUAGAGACUGAGUUGCACCUGACAGAUGAAUCAGGGACAGAUGUGGAUGCAGAUGUGUUUGAGGAGCUUUUGCGAGCAGGCAACCUUACUGUUAGAGUGACAUCUGAAAGGU